CCUACGGGGGGCAGCAGUGGGGAAUAUUGGGCAAUGGACGCAAGUCUGACCCAGCAACGCCGCGUGAAGGAAGAAGGCUUUCGGGUUGUAAACUUCUUUUAAGGGGGAAGAGUAGAAGACGGUACCCCUUGAAUAAGCCACGGCUAACUCCGUGCCAGCAGCCGCGGUAAUACGGAGGAUGCGAGCGUUAUCCGGAUUUAUUGGGUUUAAAGGGUGCGUAGGCGGCUUUGUAAGUCAGCGGUAAAAAUGCGGUGCUCAACGCCGUAUCGCCGUUGAAACUGCGGGUCUUGAGUGAGCGAGA
rnacentral:rRNA from 1 species